UACGAAGGUGGCAAGCGUUGUUCGGAAUUAUUGGGCGUAAAGGGCGCGUAGGCGGACUUGUAGGUCGAUUGUGAAAUCCCUGGGCUUAACCCGGGAACUGCAGUCGAAACUGCAUGUCUUGAAUGCUCGAGAGGAUGGUAGAAUUCCUGGUGUAGAGGUGAAAUUCGUAGAUAUCAGGAGGAAUACCGGAGGCGAAAGCGGCCAUCUGGCGAGACAUUGACGCUGAGGCGCGAAAGCGUGGGGAGCAAACAGG
rnacentral:rRNA from 1 species